UACGGGGGGAGCAAGCGUUGUUCGGAUUUACUGGGCGUAAAGGGCGCGUAGGCGGUCGUGACAAGUCACUUGUGAAAUCUCCGGGCUUAACUCGGAAAGGUCAAGUGAUACUGUCGGACUAGAGUGCAGAAGGGGCAACUGGAAUUCUCGGUGUAGCGGUGAAAUGCGUAGAUAUCGAGAGGAACACCUGCGGCGAAGGCGGGUUGCUGGGCUGACACGUGACGUGAGGCGCGAAAGCCAGGGGAGCGAACGGGG
rnacentral:rRNA from 1 species